rnacentral:rRNA from 1 species
AAUGCGGGACUCUAAGAGGCCCCGUAAUUGGAAUGAGUACACCUUAAAUCGUUUAACGAGUAUCAAUUGGAGGGCAAGUCUGGUGCCUGCAGCCUCGGUAAUUCCAGCUCCAAUAGCGUAUAUUAAAGUUGCUGCAGUUAAAAAGCUCGUAGUUGGAUCUGGGGCUUGAGGUCGCUGUCUAUCGUUUCGGCGAUGACGGUGAUGCUCAGCUCUGCUUGCCGGUGACUGUUGCGGUGUUCUUCACUGAGCGCUGUAGCAGCACGGCACGUUUACUCUGAAAAAAUUAGAGUGCUCAAAGCGUGCUUGUCGCUUGAAUAAUGUUGCAUGGAAUAAUGGAAUAGGACCUCGGUUCUAUUUUGUUGGUUUUCGGAGCUUGAGGUAAUGAUUAAGAGGGACGAACGGGGGCAUUCGUAUUGCGGUGUUAGAGGUGAAACUCUUGGAUCGCCGCAAGACGGACUACUGCGAAAGCAUUUGCCAAGAACGCUUUCAUUAAUUAAGGACGAAAGUCAGAGGUUCGAAGGCGAUCAGACACCGUCCUAGUUCUGACCAUAAACGAUGCCGACCAGCGAUCCGUAGUGGUUGCUUUAUGGACCCUACGGGCAGCCUCCGGGAAACCAAAGUAUUUGGGUUCCGGGGGAAGUAUGGUUGCAAAGCUGAAACUUAAAGGAAUUGACGGAAGGGCACACCAGGAGUGGAGCCUGCGGCUUAAUUUGACACAACACGGGAAGACUCACCCGGUCCGGACACCGUAAGGAUUGACAGACUGAUAGCCCUUUCUUGAUUCGGUGGAUGGUGGUGCAUGGCCGUUCUUAGUUGGUGGAGUGAUUUGUCUGGUUAAUUCCGAUAACGAACGAGACUCUAGCCUGCUAAGUAGUGUUGCUAUUGUUAUAUGGUUGACACUUCUUAGAGGGACAAGUGGCAUUUAGCCACGCGAAAUUGAGCAAUAACAGGUCUGUGAUGCCCUUAUAUGUCCGGGGCCGCACGCGCGCUACACUGGAGAAGUCAGCGUGUGUUAUCAAGUCCGAAAGGACUGGGUAAUCCGUUGAACCUUCUUCGUGCUUGGGACUGUGGCUUGGAACUAUUCCACAUGAACGAGGAAUUCCUAGUAAUUGCAAGUCAUAAGCUUGCGUUGAUUACGUCCCUGCCCUUUGUACACACCGCCCGUCGCUACUACCGAUUGAAUGGUUUAGCAAGGUCCUCGGAUCGUGGCCGUAGGGGCACGCAAGUGUUUCUGCGGUUUGCGAGAAGACGACCAAACUUGAUCAUUUAGA